UUAAGCGACUAAGCGUACACGGUGGAUGCCCUGGCAGUCAGAGGCGAUGAAGGACGUGCUAAUCUGCGAUAAGCGUCGGUAAGGUGAUAUGAACCGUUAUAACCGGCGAUUUCCGAAUGGGGAAACCCAGUGUGUUUCGACACACUAUCAUUAACUGAAUCCAUAGGUUAAUGAGGCGAACCGGGGGAACUGAAACAUCUAAGUACCCCGAGGAAAGAAAUCAACCGAGAUUCCCCAGUAGCGGCGAGCGAACGGGAGCAGCCCAGAGCCUGAAUCAGUGUGUGUGUUAGUGGAAGCGUCUGGAAAGGCGCGCGAUACAGGUGACAGCCCGUACACAAAAUGCACAUAUUGUGAGCUCGAUGAGUAGGGCGGGACACGUGGUAUCCUGUCUGAAUAUGGGGACCAUCCUCCAAGGCUAAAUACUCUGACUGACCGAUAGUGAACCAGUACCGUGAGGGAAAGGCGAAAAGAACCCCGGCGAGGGAGUGAAAAGAACCUGAAACCGUGUACGUACAAGCAGUGGGAGCCUCUUUUAUGGGGUGACUGCGUACCUUUUGUAUAAUGGGUCAGCGACUUAUAUUCUGUAGCAAGGUUAACCGAAUAGGGAGCCGAAGGAAACCGAGUCUUAACUGGGCGUUAAGUUGCAGGGUAUAGACCCGAAACCCGGUGAUCUAGCCAUGGGCAGGUUGAAGGUUGGGUAACACUAACUGGAGGACCGAACCGACUAAUGUUGAAAAAUUAGCGGAUGACUUGUGGCUGGGGGGUGAAAGGCCAAUCAAACCGGGAGAUAGCUGGUUCUCCCCGAAAGCUAUUUAGGUAGCGCCUCGUGAAUUCAUCUCCGGGGGUAGAGCACUGUUUCGGCAAGGGGGUCAUCCCGACUUACCAACCCGAUGCAAACUGCGAAUACCGGAGAAUGUUAUCACGGGAGACACACGGCGGGUGCUAACGUCCGUCGUGAAGAGGGAAACAACCCAGACCGCCAGCUAAGGUCCCAAAGUCAUGGUUAAGUGGGAAACGAUGUGGGAAGGCCCAGACAGCCAGGAUGUUGGCUUAGAAGCAGCCAUCAUUUAAAGAAAGCGUAAUAGCUCACUGGUCGAGUCGGCCUGCGCGGAAGAUGUAACGGGGCUAAACCAUGCACCGAAGCUGCGGCAGCGACACUAUGUGUUGUUGGGUAGGGGAGCGUUCUGUAAGCCUGUGAAGGUGUACUGUGAGGUAUGCUGGAGGUAUCAGAAGUGCGAAUGCUGACAUAAGUAACGAUAAAGCGGGUGAAAAGCCCGCUCGCCGGAAGACCAAGGGUUCCUGUCCAACGUUAAUCGGGGCAGGGUGAGUCGACCCCUAAGGCGAGGCCGAAAGGCGUAGUCGAUGGGAAACAGGUUAAUAUUCCUGUACUUGGUGUUACUGCGAAGGGGGGACGGAGAAGGCUAUGUUGGCCGGGCGACGGUUGUCCCGGUUUAAGCGUGUAGGCUGGUUUUCCAGGCAAAUCCGGAAAAUCAAGGCUGAGGCGUGAUGACGAGGCACUACGGUGCUGAAGCAACAAAUGCCCUGCUUCCAGGAAAAGCCUCUAAGCAUCAGGUAACAUCAAAUCGUACCCCAAACCGACACAGGUGGUCAGGUAGAGAAUACCAAGGCGCUUGAGAGAACUCGGGUGAAGGAACUAGGCAAAAUGGUGCCGUAACUUCGGGAGAAGGCACGCUGAUAUGUAGGUGAAGUCCCUCGCGGAUGGAGCUGAAAUCAGUCGAAGAUACCAGCUGGCUGCAACUGUUUAUUAAAAACACAGCACUGUGCAAACACGAAAGUGGACGUAUACGGUGUGACGCCUGCCCGGUGCCGGAAGGUUAAUUGAUGGGGUCAGCGCAAGCGAAGCUCUUGAUCGAAGCCCCGGUAAACGGCGGCCGUAACUAUAACGGUCCUAAGGUAGCGAAAUUCCUUGUCGGGUAAGUUCCGACCUGCACGAAUGGCGUAAUGAUGGCCAGGCUGUCUCCACCCGAGACUCAGUGAAAUUGAACUCGCUGUGAAGAUGCAGUGUACCCGCGGCAAGACGGAAAGACCCCGUGAACCUUUACUAUAGCUUGACACUGAACAUUGAGCCUUGAUGUGUAGGAUAGGUGGGAGGCUUUGAAGUGUGGACGCCAGUCUGCAUGGAGCCGACCUUGAAAUACCACCCUUUAAUGUUUGAUGUUCUAACGUGGACCCGUGAUCCGGGUUGCGGACAGUGUCUGGUGGGUAGUUUGACUGGGGCGGUCUCCUCCUAAAGAGUAACGGAGGAGCACGAAGGUUGGCUAAUCCUGGUCGGACAUCAGGAGGUUAGUGCAAUGGCAUAAGCCAGCUUGACUGCGAGCGUGACGGCGCGAGCAGGUGCGAAAGCAGGUCAUAGUGAUCCGGUGGUUCUGAAUGGAAGGGCCAUCGCUCAACGGAUAAAAGGUACUCCGGGGAUAACAGGCUGAUACCGCCCAAGAGUUCAUAUCGACGGCGGUGUUUGGCACCUCGAUGUCGGCUCAUCACAUCCUGGGGCUGAAGUAGGUCCCAAGGGUAUGGCUGUUCGCCAUUUAAAGUGGUACGCGAGCUGGGUUUAGAACGUCGUGAGACAGUUCGGUCCCUAUCUGCCGUGGGCGCUGGAGAACUGAGGGGGGCUGCUCCUAGUACGAGAGGACCGGAGUGGACGCAUCACUGGUGUUCGGGUUGUCAUGCCAAUGGCACUGCCCGGUAGCUAAAUGCGGAAGAGAUAAGUGCUGAAAGCAUCUAAGCACGAAACUUGCCCCGAGAUGAGUUCUCCCUGACCCUUUAAGGGUCCUGAAGGAACGUUGAAGACGACGACGUUGAUAGGCCGGGUGUGUAAGCGCAGCGAUGCGUUGAGCUAACCGGUACUAAUGAACCGUGAGGCUUAACCU
rnacentral:rRNA from 1 species